rnacentral:rRNA from 1 species
UACGUAGGCAGCAAGCGUUGUUCGGAAUUACUGGGCGUAAAGAGUGUGUAGGCGGUGCUCCAAGUCUGGUGUGAAAUCUCCCGGCUUAACUGGGAGGGUACAUUAGAAACUGGAAUGCUAGAGGAUGGGAGAGGUAAGCGGAAUUCCUGGUGUAGCGGUGAAAUGCGUAGAUAUCAGGAGGAACACCUGUGGUGUAGACAGCUUACUGGACCAUUUCUGACGCUGAGACACGAAAGCGUGGGUAGCAAACAGG